GAAGAAAAAGAGAUUACCAUCUGGCUGCUUAUAAUAAAGAGGGUAAAAAAAAUAAACGGAUCAUGUGAUGUGGACCAAUAAGAGGAGAAAAAGGCCAGAUUAGAAAAGAAGAAUGUAUGAACAGUAAGAAUGUGUUAAAAAAAAUAAAUAAAAAAUAUAUAUAUAUAUAUAUAUAACACCCCCAUUUAUAAACUUUAACCAAUUGAAGUCCAGGGACUACAGAUACAAAAAAAGUGUUUUGACGAACUGGUGAUAUUUAUUGAUGUGCACUCUCCAUACGAAAUAAAAUACAAAAUGUAAUAAAUAAUAAAAUAUGCAAAAAGUAUGAACUGUACCUUGCUACCUAUUUAGAUAUAUUGUGAUUAUUAGAAUGACUAUCCAUUCCACAUAAAUGUAUCCCUCACAGUCUGUCCUUCUGGAUGUUUUGAGAGCGUCUAGCCUCUUGGCCAUAAAGAAAGUUCCCGUCUACACUCAAGUACUGGGCACAGCUGUGUUCAGGAGAUGAAGAAAGGGUAGAAAAGCAUCAACACCUGUUUGAGUGGCGAUAAGCAGCCCUAAACAGGCGGCCAGUGGCACCCCAGGCCUCUGUGACAAAAAGAGGGCCAUUGAAUUGCUCAAUCCCUCCCAUGGCCGUCAUCAGUGUGACGGGACUCUGCUAUGAUUGGCUGAACAAAAAGAACACCAAAAGUGUCCAAGUCCCAGUCGGCCAUCUGGGACUCCAGGCUCCGCCUCUUAAAGGGAAAGAACUUAUUUUUCUAUUUACCUCCUCUGUGUGGGAGUUUGUGUGUGCAGUGAAACUAGUGAUGAGGCUCGAGACAUUUUUUGUGGUUUAGAGUUAGACCGCCGAGGGGAACAUUUGAACUCAUAUAUGGCUCUUCUGAUGAAUACAAAAGGGGAUUUCCCAGCCCCAGCACACGCAUUUACUUUGAAAAGACGCAUCUCCAUUCUAACUUCAUUGUGAUGCGAAGAAAAAGCAUGAUCCGGACUGGGCCACAAAGGCCGCUACCCUUCAGAUCCUGGAGCAGCUCGAAACGGAUCAGUUCAGCGGGGCCUAUUCUUAAAAACGAGGGCACACGGAAAUCUCGAAAGAAAUCCCACGGCGGCGGUGAUCUCUGGCUUCAUCGUACCCCGGGCACAAAGGCGCCGACACAAGCUGCUACAGCAACAACAGCUCACCAAUCACAGCCCCGUCGCCGUCUGACGAGCCGCAUAUAGGAGGAGUGCAGCGGCCGCGUCACCGCUGAAAAUAAACAGUGAGCGUGCGUGUGGCUGUUUAUCCACAUAUGCAACAGGAAGAGUCUCUAUCAACUGAAAGAGUGCGUGAUCCCGUCAAACGCAGAGGAGGCGGCCAACAACGUUGUGCCAGGAAGCAGAGGAAUCUGCAUUCUGUCCAGUGGCCAGUCCCUACCUGCUCAUUAAAAUCAGUGGAAAAGUACAGGCCGCUGUUCUGUGUUGGUUACAGACCCCGUAUAUGAUGUCUCAUCGAGGGCUCCAGUCGUGAUGCAAUCAAACAGACCCCGACGACACCGACUGGUACAGAAACGCACACACAAUAUAGACGUGUGUGUGUGUGUGUGUGAAAAACAUCAGCGUAAUAGAGAUUGAAUUAUGCUGCCACCUUGGAUAUUCUCCAGUAUUUCCCGGAUGUCAUUUAUCGGACCACUCAAUUGACAAUUGAUUUUUUCUUUUGUCAAAAAAUUGACAUGAUGUUCAAAAGUGUGAGUUUUGUCUGAUUGACUUUCCAUUUUUCAAUGGAAAAUAUGGGAAAUAAAGCUUUUCACUUUAAAUACAUGUUGUUUUGACUUUAUUUGUACAAAAGUGGAGUAAAAUAUGUAACCUGUGAUGGUAUUUGGUAGUGAAAAUGUUGUCCAUCAUGCCUUUUGUCCUAAAUCUCUGAAGGUUUAAUUCUAUUUUCGUCUUGUAAUCUUGUAAAGUAUAAAAAAGGUGAUAAUUGAA